AAGAUUCAACUCAAACUGCAAUUAAAAAUUAAAUCGUCAUCCCCAACCUUAGUGUUACAAUAUCAGAGCUCGUAGUGACUACAUGCUUAUUCAACUACUAAUAACAGAACUAAACGGAGGGCAUCCCCUCAUCUCCACCUUCUAAAACGUCUCAUAGCUACUGCUUGUCAACCUGGACAUCUGUACUCAAGGUACAUCAACCAUACAGAAAACAACACGACAAAAUAAGGGGUGAUAAAUCCUGACAUAACAUAAUAAUAGGGAAAAGCACGCAUGUUAAAUAAAUAACAAAAUAAAAUAAUCCCACCAUAUCUUCACUCUCAACAGUUAUUACGCAUAAUCUCUUCUUUUCACAGAUCACAACAACACAUCACCUUCACACUUACAACCACCAAACACAAAAAAUAAUCAUAUAUAGAUGCAUAUGAACUCUCCUAUCGGACCUAUAUGAAUGUGGUACAACGCCUACUCGUUAUUUUUCCAGAGUUAUGUUACUGGACUUUCACUGCAUAAUUUUCCAGAGGUAUUUUACUGGACGUUCAGUACAUAACAAUGCAAGACAUCAUGCUAUAGACUCUACAUGAAUGCAUAAAAAUAAAUUCGACAAGUAAAACAAGUAUACACAUAUUCAAAUAAUUCACAUAUUAAUGCAAGACUCACUAAAAUGCACAACUCUAAUGCAAGCACAUAAAUCAUCAUCAUCAUACUCAUCAUCAUCACAUAUCACUCUCGUCAUCAUUAUAUACAUCACUCUCAUCAUCAUUAUCAUAGAUAAACAUCAUCACUCUCACCGUCAUAAUGAUAUAGUUGCCGUCAUCCUCAUCAUCACUAAAAUAUAAAUAUUAUCAUCCUCAUCUUCAUCAUAAUUUAAUCAUCAUCACUCUCAUUCUCUUCAUUAAACCAACCCUUACGCGUGACUCAUUUCUACAUCAACAUCCCACUAUUUUAUUUUAUUAUUCAUCUUACAUACAUACUCUAUCUCAUCAUCUAGGCUUUCUAUAUACUUUACUACUAAUAGCAUAACCUAUAACUCAUUCUUACUCUCAAGAUGUAUUCUUAUUCAUUAUCAUUACCUGUAAUGUCUCCUCUCUAUACAACUAGGUUCUUCCACACCAUCGUCAUUAACGCUUUCGUAAUUAUUCUUCUCAUUUAAAACGACUUUAAAUCUUAUUUCCUUGUUCUCACAUUUGUCGUCAUCUAUACAUCGACUAUUCUCCUAAUCUUAACUUAAUCCUAAUUUGAAGUUAUUAUCUCACUUUAUCAGUACUUUCGGCUUCAGAAACUUUCUUCACUAAGACUUCAGUAUAAUUCAAGAUUUUAUUUUUUCAAUACCGGUUGUUAUUAUUAUCGUCAAACAUUAUAACUAUUACCGCUUAUCCUCUUUCCUACUCAUCUUGCUCUCUUCUAAUUGUUUUCCGUUCUUUUCAUCGCUAUUAUCAUUCCCAUUGUCUUUCAUUACCUAAUUCACAACUCCCUAUCUUUAUUUACAUAUCGUCUACGAUCAUCUAACUCGACUACACUAUAAUCUUUAUUUGUUUUUACACUUUAAACGUUCCUUUAUAACAUUCGCCUUAAGUUAUUUAAUUACCUUGUCUCUUUCACUCUCCAAUUAUCAAUACUCUUAAGCUCAUUAUUUUUCACGUCCUAUUUUCAAGUCAUCUUUUAACAUCUUUAAAAUUCACUUAGAUCACUAUCACUGGUUUAUGUUUUAGACUUGCUAUUAUCCUGAGGUAAUCACUUCUAUUUAUGCCUGAUAACACUCCCUCAUUUAGAUGUAAAGCUUAAGGACCCUCACCUGUAUUUUACACGCUAAUGUAUUUCUUAAAAUCACUAAUACUAUCAUGGAUGGUUUAGAGUCCACUAGAACGGUGGUGUUGAAACUUCAUGAAAACGCAUUAUGACCCACGUGCGACAUUUUAAUCAUAACUCAACUUAGGAAUGUCUGAAUAAGGUCAAAACAAAGCUAAAGGAAAUAUAACACCCAUAUCUACAAUUUUCAUUAAGGAACCUAAAUCCAAUUCGAUACAGAGAGGGGUGCAAAGGUUGGUUUUCCUAAAACUAGGUAGAGUGCACGACCGUGCUGACCUCUGUGUAUUAUUUUGACUAUAACUCAAGUUUUUGACGUCCUAUUGGAGUCAAUCUAAAGCCACAUGAAAGAUAAUAUCCAUAUAUACAACUUUCAUGUUUACAUCGAAACCUAGUUCAAAACAUAAAAUAGUUGAAAGUUGGAUUUCCUCAGCCUCAGAAAAGAGCAUGACCCUGCUGACCCAUGUGUAGUAUUUUGAACAUAUCUUGAGUUCUAGAUGUUAGAAUGACGUCAAACCAAUUUCAAAUUAAAUCUGACAUUCAUAUCUACAACUUUGAUGAAGACACCAAAUCCUAAUUCAGAACCGAAAAUUCCCAGUUUUGUUUUUGUUUUUGGUUACAUAAAUCACAUAUUUUCUGUGAUUUUGUAUGUGCGAUUUAGCCUUAAGGAACCUUUCCUAACUCCAUUUUCGACCCUAAACUUGCCAAACUCGACCCUAAUCUUUAAUCCAUGAUUACCCUAUCAUUCAAACACUAAUUCUUCGUUAACCUACCAGAUUAUCCACUCUUUUCUAAAAUUCAAUUCAAAAACAUAAACUGGUUUUCCUCAAUUCUCAUCUUUCAAUUUGUUCAUCAUCAUUCUCUCAUCAAAAUUCACAUCAUAAUAGCAACAACAUAUUAAAAUUUAAGACAACCCUCCCAUAAUAGAUUAAGAUACCCUAAAGUGCAAAGAUUAUCCCCCUUACCUCGAAUCUGUAGAAACCUUCAGUUUGGCUUGAUGUUGCUACACGAGGGUUCUGCUUCUCUCCCUUUGCUUCUCUUCUCCCUUUU
rnacentral:lncRNA from 1 species